rnacentral:rRNA from 1 species
CCUACGGGAGGCAGCAGUGAGGAAUAUUGGUCAAUGGGCGCGAGCCUGAACCAGCCAAGUAGCGUGAAGGAUGACUGCCCUACGGGUUGUAACCUUCUUUUCUAAAGGAGUAAAGUGAGGCACGUGUGCCUUUUUGUAUGUAAUUUAUGAAUAAGGAUCGGCUAACUCCGUGCCAGCAGCCGCGGUAAUACGGAGGAUCCGUGCGUUAUCCGGAUUUAUUGGGUUUAAGGGGAGCGUAGAUGGGUUGUUAAGUCAGUUGUGAAAGUUUGCGGUUCAAUCGUAAAAUUGCAAUUGUUACUGGCAGUCUUGAGUACAGUUGAGGUAGGCGGAAUUCGUGGUGUAGCGGUGAAAUGCGCAGAUAUCACGAAGAACACCGAUGGCGAAGGCAGCUUACUAAGCUGCCACUGACAUUGAGGCUCGAAAGUGUGGGUAUCAAACAGGAUUAGAUACCCGAGUAGUC